CUUAAAGGGAAACGACUUUGGACUCACGUAGGCAUAGGAGAACGAAACUUCUGUACAUUUUAAUCUGAAUAAUUCUUCAGGAUUUAACAUUAAUUGGCUCUGGCUUGGUUGGACCUUACUCGGAUCUCGCCACCUCUGCGUUUCCCGAGUCACUGGCGAAGAGGUCCCGGUUCCUCUGGGAAUCGUCCUGUAUGCAACAUCUUCACAAGGGUGGCAGGCAGUUGAAUCUCUGGACUUCGUGAGACCACUGGACAUUUGGCAGAGAACCAGGAAGCCACGGUUCCCUUCUGUGAGUCCCUCAGCCGGAAAACUACAAGCUCCUGAUGCAGCUGCUGUCUGCAGACCCCCUAGACUGCCUGGGGAAGUGAGUCGGAGCUCCUGCAGCAGAGGGGUGGAACAGCUACACGAAGAUCCGAAGGUGGCCAAAAAUAACAGCGCUUUCCAGAUGAGGGAGCCAGUUGUCCAGCACAGUGUCAUGGGACAGUGGGUCCUGGUGCCACAAUGCCCGGCAUCUCCACCAGAUACAGCUUUGAGAUCUUCAUGAUGAAGCUUGCUCCAAUCCAAGGGCUGCCAGAUGGAGUUUGCUGUUCAGCUGCUAACCUUUCUUUGAUCCAAAUCCUGUGUUCACUGGCUUCAAGAAUCCUGUCUUCAUUGGCUUCAAGAAUCCUGUCUUCAUUGGCUUCAAAACUGGGAUGAAGGAGGCUCCUUAGUGGAGAGCAAACCAAAGAGAAACUCAAAUUGGAUUCAUAUUAAAGAAGAGAAGGAUGGAUUUGUUGAGACAACACAAACCCAGGAAGGGUUUGAGGGGUGAAACAAACUGGGUUAUGGAUGAACAGCGGGCAAUUGGAAUGUAGAACUGAAACAGCAAUUAACAUCUUGGUAAGUUACCCACCAUAAAAUGCUUUAGAGCAAGAUAGAUUUUUGUUUUUCUUUUUUUUUCUUCUAUUUCUUCUUUUCUAUAUUUUUUCUAUCUUGUCAUGUAGGACACCCUUUUUUUUACUCUAAUUUUGAGAUCCUCGUGGAUGAAAACAAAACAAAUAUUAAAAUAUUGCAUAGGAAGAACACAAAUAGCUUUGAUAAUGCACCAACUGCAAGUGGAUUCACUGGCUCUGUGUCAGCUGGUUCAUGUAGGAAGCUGAAGAAUAUUUUCUUGCCAACGUUUUGGCAAGAGUUAUUUUUUGCCGGGGGGUGGCCGCAAGGGUGCAAUCCAAUAAUGAUAAUAAAAAAAAGACUGUAUAACCAUUGUGUAGGACGUGCUUCAGCCACCCUACAGCCGAGAGUGAGUUGGUCUUCCACAAGUCACUGGGGGAGAUGAAGGAUACACUGUAGUCAGUUGGAGUCUCUUUGGGCCUAAAAUCACUAUAGGACACUUUUCCAAAGUACCCUGAUGUCUUCACUGAUCCUGAGUGCUGGCACUUGCACUUUGUCACCACAUCCAUCCCAGAGCUGCCCCAGUGGCUAGAGGCCUCUUGAAUAUCAGCAUCAUGCUCUCCCCCAACCUGGGGGAUUCGUUUUCCUCCCCUGCAGUAGACAUUUGCAUGGAAGGUUAAUCCACAGUUAGGAGUUGCUUAACUCAAGCCUCAGAAAGCAUACACUGCAUCUUUAAGAAAUAGUUUACUUGUGAAUCAGUAAACGUACUAGACAAAGCAGCCAUUACUUAUGCAUUCCUGCAUAUCCAGCAAGGUGAAAAUAAUAGAAUAAACAUCAUAUACUUCAUUAUGAUAUCGGUUUACACUUCCAGGGUACACAAAAAGGGGCCAUUUCAUCAAGCUAAUUGCCUGAAAGUAAAAGAGAGAGAACUUUAGCUAUUAGUCUAUUAUGGGGCUUUUUUCUUAAUCACAAAUAGGGGCCGUGUGUCCCUGGGGGGAUGUGUAUUCUAAUUUACAAUUGAACUACAGAUCAGAGCAAUCAAUCUUGGGCAGCACUUUUACAGUGUAAUUGCUGCAACAUAACAAAU
rnacentral:antisense_RNA from 1 species